rnacentral:rRNA from 1 species
ACGGAAGGCAGCAGUGAGGAAUAUUGGACAAUGGGCGGAAGCCUGAUCCAGCCAUGCCGCGUGCAGGAAUAAGGCCCUAUGGGUCGUAAACUGCUUUUGUUGUGGAGCAAUAAGUGCCACGAGUGGCGUGAUGAGAGUACACAGCGAAUAAGCAUCGGCUAACUCCGUGCCAGCAGCCGCGGUAAUACGGAGGAUGCAAGCGUUAUCCGGAUUUAUUGGGUUUAAAGGGUGCGUAGGCGGCUUGUCAAGUCAGAGGUGAAAGCCCUGCGCUCAACGCGGGAACUGCCUUUGAUACUGGUCGUCUUGAAUGCGGAUGCCGUGGGAGGAAUGUGUGGUGUAGCGGUGAAAUGCAUAGAUAUCACACAGAACACCGAUUGCGAAGGCAUCUCACGAAUCCGUUAUUGACGCUGAGGCACGAAAGCGUGGGGAUCAAACAGGAUUAGAUACCCUGGUA